rnacentral:rRNA from 1 species
CAAAAACAUGUCUUAUUGAUUUAUAUUAAGUCAGGCCUGCCCAAUGAAUUUUAUUGAAUGGCUGCAGUAUUUUAACUGUACAAAGGUAGCAUAAUAAUUAGUUUUUUAAUUGAGGACUAGAAUGAAAGGUUUUAUGAAAUAUUAACUUUAUUAUAUUAAUUAAUAUAAUUUUAUUUUUUAGUAAAAAAGCUAAAAUAUUUAUAGUAGACGAGAAGACCCUAUAGAUUUUAAUAAUUAUAUUUAUUAAAUUUAUUAAGAAUUUAAAUUAUAAAUUAGAUAGAAUUAUUUUAUUGGGGCGAUAGUAAAAUUUAUUUAAUUUUUAUAUAAAUAUUUAAACAUUAAUUUAUGAGUUAUUGAUCCAUUAUUGAUGAUUAAUAAAUUAAAUUACCUUAGGGAUAACAGCAUAAUUUAUUUGGAAAGUUCGUAUUAAUAGAUGAGAUUAUGACCUCGAUGUUGAAUUAAGAUAAAUUUUAGGAGCAGAAAUUUAAUAAUUAAGGUC